rnacentral:tRNA from 1 species
CAAAAUGUAGCUUAACUAAAGCCUCUUGUUUACACCAAGAAAAUGUCCGUUCAACCCGAACCAUAUUGAG